GGGCUUUUAGUAUAGUGGUAGUAUGCCUGCUUCGGGUUAAGCGAAGCUCAGUUGCGGCAGACCGUAAUUGCAGGUGACCCCGGAUCAAACCCGGGAAAGCCCC